AAUGCUCCCUCUGAGUCAGUGCGGAGCCAGCCUCCCAGCAUGGUGCUUGGGGACACUCUGGUGCUUGAGCUGCAAUCACUUAGAUCAGAGAAAACCAAACCUCUGAGCAGUUGCGGUCACUUGAGAUCAGAUGGAAAAAAACCAGAGAUAUUAUGCCAGUAUUCUCAGCAAACUCAAAAGAAGACAACAAUUGCACCAGGCCAGAUCUGCUUGCAUUCUGCCAGGAAUCUUGCCAAGCCACCCAGUGAGCCAGGAGAAUGUGGAACUAUUCUGAAGCACUGAUGGGUAUCGUGCUCCUGGAGGCCCCUGUCCCUCCAGCGGGUAGAAACUCUGUAUACAUCCUCCUGGAAGCUGUAGAAUGAUGAGAGAUGAAGAGGUCCCUGUUUAUAUUUCAUUACUGUCAUCACAGGACUUAAAACCAAUGCAUAUGAGGAUGUAAGACAUGCCGAUAAGUAAGUGUACAGUCUCUCCAUUUUCUAGCAAAUCACCUGACUAAUCCAGUUGGCUCCCAUUCCAUGUUCUCUAGUGGAAUAAUAAUUAUAGAAUGAAUCACAUAAUGGUUAAGAUUAGAAAGGAUCUUAAACAUCAUGUAGUUCCAACCCCUGCCAUGAUCAGGGUUGCCACCCACCAGAUCAGCUGCUCAGGAUCCCAUUCAAUAUGGCCUUGAAUUUCUCCAGGGAUAGGGCAUCCACAACCUCUUUGGGAAAUAUAUUCUAGUGCCUCAC